rnacentral:lncRNA from 1 species
ACUUGACAACGGGAGAUUUUAUAUUGCAUGAGUUUAUACUACGAUGCUCAACAGCGAUCAAGUGCAUUCAUAACCGAGAAUUGCGGCGAUCCGGAUCUAAUUACAUCCUGCAGGAGAGUACCCUGAUCACCAGCAUUAUACGACUGUCCAGGUCGUACUAACAACCUCUCAAUUAGCAAAGUCAAUGAUUAGGAAUACAACUACCCGGACCCAGGGAUGCACCCCCACAUGGGACCCCACGUCUGGCCUGAUCUCCAU